AUGUCCAAUUUUGUCAAAAGUAAGAUUACCAAUUUGCCUUCCAUACAGGAACCUAGCAGUGUUGAGAAAAUCAUGGAAAUUGAUGAGCAUGUAGGCUGUGCCAUGAGUGGCCUUAUUGCUGAUGCAAGAACAUUGGUUGAGCAUGCUCGAGUGGAGACCCAAAACCAUAGAUUCUCAUAUGGGGAACCGAUGACAGUUGAGUCCACCACACAAGCUAUUUGCGAUCUAGCUCUUCGCUUUGGAGAAGGUGAAGAAGAGUCUAUGUCACGACCUUUUGGAGUUUCUCUCCUUAUUGCUGGUCAUGAUGAAAAUGGGCCGAGCUUGUACUACACUGACCCAUCUGGAACCUUUUGGCAGUGCAAUGCCAAGGCAAUAGGGUCAGGCUCUGAGGGUGCCGAUAGUUCCUUGCAGGAGCAGUUCAACAAGGAGCUGACCCUUCAGGAGGCUGAAACCAUUGCUCUAUCUAUCCUGAAACAGGUUAUGGAAGAAAAGGUGACUCCAAAUAAUGUCGACAUCGCCAGGGUCGCGCCGAACUACCACCUUUACACCCCUGCAGAGGUUGAAGCAGUCAUAGCACGAUUGUGAAACGCAGAAAUCUUUGUCGAAUGUCAACCAGGAUUCGUGUAGAGGCCUAGCUGUUGUUGCCUUGUCACUUGCCGGUAAGGAGAUUGUACUACACCCUUUUGUUUGAUAUACGAAGGAUUUGUGGCAAUAGCAUGCAGU
rnacentral:rRNA from 1 species